rnacentral:rRNA from 1 species
ACAGCAGUAGCCGCGGGAAUACAGAGGGUGCGAGCGUUAAUCGGAUUUACUGGGCGUAAAGCGUGCGUAGGCGGCUUCUUAAGUCGGAUGUGAAAUCCCUGAGCUUAACUUAGGAAUUGCAUUCGAUACUGGGAAGCUAGAGUAUGGGAGAGGAUGGUAGAAUUCCAGGUGUAGCGGUGAAAUGCGUAGAGAUCUGGAGGAAUACCGAUGGCGAAGGCAGCCAUCUGGCCUAACACUGACGCUGAGGUACGAAAGCAUGGGGAGCAAACAGGAUUAGAUACCCGUGUAGUCCCUGUCUCUUAUAC